UCGGUGCGUAUUACGCUGAUAACGAAGGUUCCGAUUAUGGCUCAGAUUGAACGCUGGCGGGAUGCUUUACACAUAAGUCGAACGGCAGCACGGACUUCCGGUCGGUGGCGGUGGCGAACGGGUGAGUAAUGUAUCGGAGCGUGCCCCCUGGUAGCGGGGGAUAACUGCGAAAGCGUAGCUAAUACCGCCGCGCCUUCAAGGGAAAGCGAGGGGACCUUCGGGCCUCGCACUACCAAAAACGGCGAUAUCAGGUUGCAGCUGAAGUUGGUGGUGGGGUAACGGCUCACCAAGGCGACGAUCCGUAGCUGCGGUUACAGAGGACGACCAGCCACACUGCGGGACUGGAACGCAAGCCAGACCACAGGGAGGCAGCGGUAGGAAUUUUUGGACAAUGGGAAACCACUGAUCCAGCCAUCCGCUGUGUGCGUGAAGGCCCUUCUCAGGUUGUAAAGCACUUGCCCGGGAAAAAACGUACGGGAUAAUACGAUACGCUGACUGAUACCUGCUGCAGAAUAAGCACCGGCUAACCUGCACAUUGCCGUACCGGUAAUACGUAAGGGUGCAAGCGUUAAUCGGAAUUACUGGGCGUAAAGCGUGCGCCAGGCUGGUUGGAAAGAAGAUGCCAAAUCCCAGAGCUUAACUUUGGAACUGCAUUUUCAACUACCGAGCUAGAGUGUCCAGAGGAGGUGGAAUUCCGCGUGUAGCAGUGAAAUGCGACGAAUGUGGAGGGAACACAGAUGGCACAGGAAGGCGGCCUCCUGGGGAUAACGCGACGCUCGUACGCGAAGAGAACGUAAGAACGAAACAGGAUUAGAUACCUGGUAGUCCCUUUUUAAAACGAUGUCAACUAGCUGUUGGGACAACUGGGCCUUGGUAGCGCAACUAACGCGUGAGAAGUUGACCGCCUGGGAAUACUGAUGCCGGAAUUAAAACUCAAAGAAAUUGACGGGGACCCGCACAAGCGAUGGUUCGUGUGGAUUAAUUCGAUGCAGCACUACGAAAAACCUUACCUACCCUUGACAUGUCUGGAAUCCCGAAGAGAUUUAAGGAUGCGAAAACCAGAACACAGGUGCUGCAUGGCUGUCGUCGCUCGUCAUCGUGAGAUGUUGGAACGGUCCCGCAACGAGCGCAACUAUGUCAUUAGUUGCUACGGGCGGCUCUAAUGAGACUGCCGGUGACAAACCGGAGGAAGGUGAGAUGAUAAGUCCUCAUGGCCCUUAUCGGGUGAGACUUCACGUCAUACAAUGGUCAGGACAGGGAGGAUUACAACCAACACGCUGAGGGAAUAUCCAAUCCCAGAAACCCGAUCGUAGUCCGGAUCUGCAGCCUGCAGCACGAGCUGGCGUGAAGUCGGAAUCGCUAGUAAUCGCGGAUCAAUGUCGCGGUGAAUACGGUUCUGGUCUUGGCCACAUAAUCUACGCACCGCGGGAGUGGGUUUCAAAUAUUCCCCCGAGCCUAACCGUAAGAAGGCGAAUACCGAUGAUUCCAUAGCUGGGGUGAAGUGGUAACAAGGUAG
rnacentral:rRNA from 1 species